CAGUCGCCGCGGUAAUACGAAGGGGGCUAGCGUUGUUCGGAAUUACUGGGCAUAAAGCGCACGUAGGCGGAUAUUUAAGUCAGGGGUGAAAUCCCAGAGCUCAACUCUGGAACUGCCUUUGAUACUGGGUAUCUUGAGUAUGGAAGAGGUGAGUGGAAUUCCGAGUGUAGAGGUGAAAUUCGUAGAUAUUCGGAGGAACACCAGUGGCGAAGGCGGCUCACUGGUCCAUUACUGACGCUGAGGUGCGAAAGCGUGGGGAGCAAACAGGAUUAGAGACCCCAGUAGUCCCUGUCUCUUAUAC
rnacentral:rRNA from 1 species